rnacentral:rRNA from 1 species
AUUGAACGCUGGCGGCAGGCCUAACACAUGCAAGUCGAACGGUAACAGGAAACAGCUUGCAGUUUCGCUGACGAGUGGCGGACGGGUGAGUAAUGUCUGGGAAACUGCCUGAUGGAGGGGGAUAACUACGGGAAACGGUAGCUAAUACCGCAUAACGUCGCAAGACCAAAGAGGGGGACCUUCGGGCCUCUUGCCAUCGGAUGUGCCCAGAUGGGAUUAGCUAGUAGGUGGGGUAACGGCUCACCUAGGCGACGAUCCCUAGCUGGUCUGAGAGGAUGACCAGCCACACUGGAACUGAGACACGGUCCAGACUCCUACGGGAGGCAGCAGUGGGGAAUAUUGCACAAUGGGCGCAAGCCUGAUGCAGCCAUGCCGCGUGUAUGAAGAAGGCCUUCGGGUUGUAAAGUACUUUCAGCGGGGAGGAAGGGAGUAAAGUCAAUACCUUUGCUCAUUGACGUUACCCGCAGAAGACGCACCGGCUAACUCCGUGCCAGCAGCCGCGGUAA